rnacentral:rRNA from 1 species
UGAACGCUGGCGGCAUGCCUUACACAUGCAAGUCGAACGGCAGCACGGGGCAACCUGGUGGCGAGUGGCGAACGGGUGAGUAAUGCAUCGGAACGUACCUUUCAGUGGGGGAUAACGUAGCGAAAGUUACGCUAAUACCGCAUACUCUGUGAGCAGGAAAGCAGGGGAUCGCAAGACCUUGCGCUGAUUGAGCGGCCGAUGUCAGAUUAGCUAGUUGGUGAGGUAAAGGCUCACCAAGGCGACGAUCUGUAGCUGGUCUGAGAGGACGACCAGCCACACUGGAACUGAGACACGGUCCAGACUCCUACGGGAGGCAGCAGUGGGGAAUUUUGGACAAUGGGCGAAAGCCUGAUCCAGCCAUUCCGCGUGCAGGAUGAAGGCCCUCGGGUUGUAAACUGCUUUUGUACAGAACGAAAAGGUUUCUAUUAAUACUAGGAGCUCAUGACGGUACUGUAAGAAUAAGCACCGGCUAACU